GCCGGGCAUGGUGGUGCAUGCCUGUAAUCCCAGAGGCUUGGGAGGCUGAGGCAGGAGGAUCGAAAGCUCAAAGCCAGCCUCAG
rnacentral:sRNA from 1 species